rnacentral:lncRNA from 1 species
ACAGACAAAGAGGUCUUCGAUUCUAUAAAAGUGCCCCCUCUUUCCUCCAAACUUCCUGCUCCACUCGAUUCUCAAACUUAGAGGUUCUUCAAACAGCUUUCAUAGUUCAUACUCUGUUUUUUGUUCUUAGCUUAACAUAUAGGCACCCACACUUGCAACGAAAUGGAAUCAAAUGUUUCUCCCAACUCCACCAAGAAGCAAAACCAAAGCCUCCCACCAAAGAGGGGCCAAGUUAAGAUGAGAAUCCUCAAGACAAUCCUAAAAUCGGUGAGUUCAAUGGCGUCGACGGGGACGCCCAAGGAAAGUGGCCCACAGCUUAGCUCAUCAUCCACAACACCGACGGGCUACCUUUCUGAUUGAUCUUUAAACUCAGAUGAAAUGAUACCUUAUUUUCAAUAUUUUUUGUACAAGGUGGGUCUAAGUGGCCGUAUAAUUUUCUCCUCUUUUUUGGGUUUACUUAGGCAACAGAUUGUAGUUUCUUUUUUAUGUAAAUAUAAUUCCUCCUUUUUGUACAUCAGUCAUGUAGUUUGAAUGUUUGAUAAAAUAGGUAUCACCAUAAUUUUUCGUUUUUCAAAUGCAUUUAUAUCCAAAUUGGAAUUGGU